GACGAACGCUGGCGGCGUGCUUAACACAUGCAAGUCGAACGGAAAGGCCCUGCUUUUGUGGGGUGCUCGAGUGGCGAACGGGUGAUUAACACGUGAGUAACCUGCCCUUGACUUUGGGAUAACUUCAGGAAACUGGGGCUAAUACCGGAUAGGAUCUCCUGCUGCAUGGUGGGGGUUGGAAAGUUUCGGCGGUUGGGGAUGGACUCGCGGCUUAUCAGCUUGUUGGUGGGGUAGUGGCUUACCAAGGCUUUGACGGGUAGCCGGCCUGAGAGGGUGACCGGCAACAUUGGGACUGAGAUACGGCCCAGACUCCUACGGGAGGCAGCAGUGGGGAAUAUUGCAAAAUGGGCGGAAGCCUGAUGCAGCAACGCCGCGUGCGGGAUGACGGCCUUAGGGUUGUAAACCGCUUUCGCCUGUGACGAAGCGUGAGUGACGGUAAUGGGUAAAGAAGCACCGGCUAACUACGUG
rnacentral:rRNA from 1 species